UAAUAGCGUAUAUUAAAAGUUGUUGCAGUUAAAAAGCUCGUAGUCGGAUGUCGGGCUCGGGCAGGCUGUCGGCUUCGGUCGGACGGCAGGCUCGGGUCUUUCUGCCUGAGGAUCCCGUUGCACUUAAUUGUGGGGCGUGGGGACGCAGGCCGUUUACUUUGAAAAAAUUAGAGUGUUCAAAGCGGGCUUACGCUUGAAUAUAUUAGCAUGGAAUAACACUAUAGGACUCCUGUCCUAUCUCGUUGGUCUCGGGAUGGGAGUAAUGAUUAAGAGGAACAGUUGGGGGCAUUCGUAUUUCAUUGUCAGAGGUGAAAUUCUUGGAUUUAUGAAAGACGAACUUCUGCGAAAAGCAUUUGCCAAGGAUGUUUUCAUUAAUCAAGAACGAAAGUUGGGGGCUCGAAGAUGAUCAGAU
rnacentral:rRNA from 1 species